UGAGGAACAUGACCUUCGGCGGGGGAUAGCCGGCCCAACGGCCGGGUAAUACCGCGUACGACCACUUUGGGACAUCCCUCGGUGGUGAAAGCAGCAAUGCGCCGAUGGAGUGCCUCGCGGCCUAUCAGCUAGUUGGUGAGGUAACGGCUCACCAAGGCUUCGACGGGUAGCUGGUCUGAGAGGACGGCCAGCCACACUGGGACUGAGACACGGCCCAGACCUCCUACGGGAGGNAGCG
rnacentral:rRNA from 1 species